rnacentral:rRNA from 1 species
AGUGAACGCUGGCGGCGUGCUUAACACAUGCAAGUCGAACGAGAACGGAAUAUAGCUUGCUAUAUUUGCCAGCUAAGUGGCGCACGGGUGAGUAAUGAAUAGAUAACCUGCCCUUAAGAAAGGAAUAACAGUUGGAAACGACUGCUAAUGCCCUAUAUGCCUUUAAUACAUAAGUAUGCAAGGGAAACGCUUUAGUGCUUAAGGAUGGGUCUGUAUGGUAUCAGCUUGUUGGUGAGGUAAUGGCUCACCAAGGCUAUGACGCCUAACUGGUUUGAGAGUAUGAUCAGUCACACUGGAACUGAGACACGGUCCAGACUCCUACGGGAGGCAGCAGUGGGGAAUAUUGCACAAUGGACGAAAGUCUGAUGCAGCAACGCCGCGUGGAGGAUGACACAUUUCGGUGCGUAAACUCCUUUUAUAUAGGAAGAUAAUGACGGUACUAUAUGAAUAAGCACCGGCUAACUCCGUGCCAGCCGCCGCAGUAAUAC